rnacentral:rRNA from 1 species
ACGAACGCUGGCGGCUGCUUAACACAUGCAAGUCGAACGGAGUGGCGAACGGGUGAGUAACGCGUGAGCAACCUGCCUAUGACAGUGGGAUAGCCUCGGGAAACCGGGAUUAAAACCGCAUAGUCAUAGAUGGGCUCGCGUUUGAUUAGCUAGUUGGUGAGAUAACAGCCCACCAAGGCGACGAUCAGUAGCCGGUCUGUGAGACUGAACGGCCCCAUUGGAACUGAGACACGGUCCAAACUCCUACGGGAGGCAGCAGUGGGGAAUAUUGCCCAAUGGGGGAAACCCUGAUGCAGCGACGCCGCUUGAACGAAGAAGGUAUUCGUAUCGUAAAGUUCUGUCCUAUGGGAAGCAGUACCAUAGAAGAAAGCUCCGGCUAAAUACGUGCCAGCAGCCGCGGUAAUUC